CUACGGGUGGCAGCAGUGGGGAAUAUUGGACAAUGGGGGAAACCCUGAUCCAGCAAUGCCGCGUGUGUGAAGAAGGCCUGCGGGUUGUAAAGCACUUUCGGUUGGGAGGACUGCUUCUAGCACUAAUAUUGUUGGAAGUUGACGUUACCUUCAGAAGAAGCACCGGCUAACUCCGUGCCAGCAGCCGCGGUGAAUACGGAGGGCGCAAGCGUUAAUCGGAAUUACUGGGCGUAAAGCGCGCGUAGGCGGCUAGAUCAGUCGGGUGUGAAAGCCCCGGGCUUAACCUGGGAACUGCAUCCGAUACUGUCUAGCUUGAGUAGAGGAGAGGAGAGUGGAAUUCCACAUGUAGCGGUGAAAUGCGUAGAUAUGUGGAGGAACACCAAUGGCGAAGGCAGCUCUCUGGCCUGAUACUGACGCUGAGGUGCGAAAGCGUGGGGAGCAAACAGGAUUAGAUACCCUCGUAGUC
rnacentral:rRNA from 1 species